rnacentral:rRNA from 1 species
UAGGGAAUCUUCCACAAUGGACGCAAGUCUGAUGGAGCAACGGCCGCGUGAGUGAAGAAGGUUUUCGGACCGUAAAGCUCUGUUGUUGGUGAAGAAGGAUAGAGGUAGUAACUGGCCUUUAUUUGACGGUAAUCAACCAGAAAGUCACGGCUAACUACGUGCCCGCAGCCGCGGUAAUCGUAGGUGGCAAGCGUUGUCCGGAUUUAUUGGGCGUAAAGCGAGCGCAGGCGGAAGAAUAAGUCUGAUGUGAAAGCCCUCGGCUUAACCGAGGAAUUGCAUCGGAAACUGUUUUUCU